UACGUAGGGCGCAAGCGUUGUCCGGAGUUACUGGGCGUAAAGGGCGUGCAGGCGGUCUGGUAAGUUUGGAGUGACAGUGCUCGGCUUAACUGAGCAAGGUUUUCAAAAACUGCUGGACUUGAGGGCUUGAGAGGGACAUAGAAUUCCGGGUGGAGUGGUGAAAUGCGUAGAUAUCCGGAGGAAUACCAAAGGCGAAGGCAGUGUCCUGGCAAGCAUCUGACGCUGAGGCGCGAAAGCUAGGGGAGCGAACAGG
rnacentral:rRNA from 1 species